CUGAAGCAAACGGGCAGCCAUAUUACCACUCCCAAAUUAUGUGGACCGCAAACGGGCGGCCAUCAGAUUAGGAGGGAUGAAGGUUACAUUAACUGGAGAGAAAAAAGAAGGAAAUGAAUCGCCUCGGUUCCUCCUCAAAAUUGUUGAUGUUCUAAUAAGCCAUCUUUAUGCCGUGCGGUCACAUAACUCUACUGGUGGUUGGCUCUCACUGCGGAAACGCCCAUCGGAGUCAGACCUGUCCAACGAUCUGAACCCAAAAAAACAGAGGACAUCAGUGGAGCCUGUGCCUCCACUGAUGUCCUCUCAUGGAGCUCAGUGCACCAACCCCCCACAGCUCAGCCCUGUCCUCUGGAAACGUCCACAAAGGACACACGGGAGAGAAAGCUAUGGUUAUUUCAACCUCAGCAACUCCACUCCCCAACUAUGUCAACAAAUACACCAUCACAACACUGGAGCAGAGGCAGAAAUAUGAAGAGGAUUUUGACGCUGAGUAUCAUGAAUACGAAAUUAUUCAUGAUCGGAUCGCCGCUGCCUCAGAGAGGUUUGUUCAACUGACCUCUGAACUGGACCCGCUGCCUCCUUGGACAGAAGCUUAUCAGCAAAUGCAGGACAAUGUACUGGAAAAGUACAGAAUCUAUCAGAAAAGGUUUCGCAGAUAUCGUGAAGACAAAAAGAAAUACAUGUAUCUUCACCAUAAACUGGCACACAUAAAAGAGAGGCUUGCAGACUAUGACCAAGCACAGAAGACCAGGGUUUGAUCGAACUGGACUGGAAGACUGAGCAGCAGGUCCUGGAAUCUUUAUUUAUGUAUUUAUUUUGGCACUUAAAGUUGAUAAGUACAGAAUAUUUAUUUUGUGUAUUUUUAGUGUAUAAAAGCAAAUUAUUGGUGCCCCAUUUAUUACAGAUUAUAUUUAUACAUAAUGUGUGGUAUUAAAUGAAUUUGCAAUGAAUUGCAAAUAUGAAACUCAAAUUUGCUAAUUUUCAUUAUAGAUAUGCUCAAUUUUAGAUUUCUAAAAAUAAUUGGGUUUAUUUUCCUAGUUGAAACUAAAAGGUUUGGACUACCGUAUUUGCUCUAUUAAAGGUCUCCUCCCUAUUAAACACCCCCCCCCCCCCAUUUUUUUUCGGCACACAGCAAGUCGUGAAAUUGUGAAUUCCUGAGAGAACAGAGUAACGACGGGCAGGUGUGCACAAACCCGGUGCAAGAGUUUGUGCACGCACCAGUGUCCAUCGAGCCGGAACAAUGCCAGGUGCACCACAUGGCGCCACUUAUGUGGAAGAAAUAAAAACAACUUGCGCUUUUAGAAACCUCUGAUCCCCAGUCAGAGACUUUACCACUGAGCUAUGGAGCUGUUCUUUGAAAGCUGCGGGAAUCUGCCUCAUAUCAGGAAGGACAUGGAAGUAUUACAAAACAAAAUUAAAAUCCCACACAAUAUAAAAACACCACAUUUAUCAAGGGAGCAAUACAAAUAUAAUCAAUACAACCAAACCUGAGAAGAUCAACUGUGGCCUCAAUCAUUAGAACUUUCCACAAUGAGAACCAGUAAGUCUUCAGCAUGAACUACAGUAAACAUUACAGUACUGUAGGCUACUCUUACUGUAAUUGUCAAAUGAUUGUACACUGCAUGCCAAUGUGCAUACAAUGUACAUACAAUGUAGAGCUCCUUGUUGCAUUUCUUGAUGAACUAUCUCUAAUCUGUAGAGCUGCUAGUGUAAUUUAUGUCAUUGUGUGGGACAGCAUCAGGUUCUACCACGCUCAUCUGGUGCAGGCAUGGUUGUGACCCUUCUUCAGGCCAUGGACAAUGCCUGCGAUGACAUAACAGCAGACCAGUAUCAGGCCUGGAUUUGUCAUGCGUGAAGGUUGAUGGACUAAGCCAAGAUUCCGCAGGGCAUCUCUGGGAUCUUUGGUGUUGGCCUCGUGGAAUCGGUCAUACAAAGCAAAAUAAUCAGCAGAACUGGUUACUGGUUGUCCAUCACAGUCUGGUACCAGCUUCUUACAGUUCAGCCAAGGAAGCACGAGGAGUUAACGAGGCAGCUGGAAGACAGCGUGUCUAAAGAGGAGAGGAAAGCUCUUGACAGGGAGCAGGAAAGGCUGCUUCUUGAAAUGGAAAAGAAGGGAGAGAAGAUCGGUAAACUCUACCGAUAUCAAAGACAGGUAAAACGUGUCCACAAAGAAGCCAAGAGUCAGAAGGGCCAUGGAGACGAGGAGCAAAGGGCUACAACGGCGGCUCCGAGACGUCACUCUGCUGUACAGCUCAAACUCAGACAAGAAGAACUCAGCAGGAGGAGUUUGGGGCUGUUGAGGGACUUGAAGGCAGUGCAGGCUUCAAGGCCUGAGCC